AUACGUAGGUGACAAGCGUUAUCCGGAUUUACUGGGCGUAAAGGGCGUGUAGGCGGUCUUGCAAGUCAGAAGUGAAAUUCCUGAGCUCAACUCGGGCGCUGCUUCUGAAACUGCAGGACUUGAGUGCUGGAGGGGAUAGCGGAAUUCCUAGUGGAGCGGUAAAAUGCGCAGAUAUUAGGAAGAACACCGGUGGCGAAGGCGGCUAUCUGGACAGUAACUGACGCUGAGGCGCGAAAGUGUGGGGAGCAAACAGGAUUAGAUACCCUGGUAGUCCACACUGUAAACGAUGAAUGCUAGGUGUAAGAGGUAUCGACCCCUUUUGUGCCGGAGCUAACACAAUAAGCAUUCCGCCUGGGGAGUACGGCCGCAAGGUUGAAACUCAAAUGAAUUGACGGGG
rnacentral:rRNA from 1 species